rnacentral:rRNA from 1 species
CGUGGGCGUAGGAAAUUUGAGAGGAGCUGUCCUUAGUACGAGAGGACCGGGAUGGACAUACCUCUGGUGUACCAGUUGUCGUGCCAACGGCAUAGCUGGGUAGCUAUGUGUGGACGGGAUAAGUGCUGAAAGCAUCUAAGCAUGAAGCCCCCCUCAAGAUGAGAUUUCCCAACUUCGGUUAUAAGAUCCCUCAAAGAUGAUGAGGUUAAUAGGUUCGAGGUGGAAGCAUGGUGACAUGUGGAGCUGACGAAUACUAAUCGAUCGAAGACUUAAUCAAAA